CCCUUAGAUGUUCUGGGCCGCACGCGCGCUACACUGAUGCAUUCAACAAGCCUAGCCUUGACCGAGAGGUCCGGGUAAUCUUUGAAACUGCAUCGUGAUGGGGCUAGAUUAUUGCAAUUAUUAAUCUUCAACGAGGAAUGCCUAGUAAGCGUGAUUCAUCAAAUCGCGUUGAUUACGUCCCUGCCCUUUGUACAUACCGCCCGUCGCUCCUACCGAUUGAAUGUGUUGGUGAGGAGCUCGGAUUGGCAGCAGUUGGUGGUUCGCCACCGGCUAUUGCUGAGAAGUCCUCCAAACCGCCCCAUUUAGAGGAAGGAGAAGUCGUAACA
rnacentral:rRNA from 1 species